rnacentral:piRNA from 1 species
UAUACGCAUCAUCUGGGGCUCCCCCC